rnacentral:pre_miRNA from 1 species
GGGGGGAGGCCGGAUCCUGGGCUGUGUUCCCGGCGCCCUGUGCUCUCGAGCCUGCGCUGUUGGAUUCGUGCUCCCGGCCAGCCAGCCCCCU